UCUCUAAUCGAAGAAUAUUUUUGUCUUAAGAAAAAUCGAGAAGAUUAGCAUGGUCCCUGCUCAAGGAUGACACACAAAUUGAGACUUUUAAUCUUAAA